rnacentral:rRNA from 1 species
UCAAAGGAAUUGACGGGGCCGCACAAGCAGUGGAGCAUGUGGUUAAUUCGACGAUACCGAAAACCUUACCAAGACUUGACAUCUAUAGAAUUUCUUAGAAAUAAGAAAGUGCCCGCAAGGGAGCUAUAAGACAGGUGGUGCAUGGCUGUCGUCAGCUCGUGUCGUGAGAUGUUGGGUUAAGUCCCGCAACGAGCGCAACCCCCAUCUUGUGUUGCCAGCACUUCGGGUGGGAACUCACAAGAGACUGCCUGUGAAAAGCAGGAGGAAGGUGGGGAUGACGUCAAGUCAUCAUGCCCCUUACGUCUUGGGCCACACACAUGCUACAAUGGCCGGUACAAAGGGUUGCCAAACCGCGAGGUGGAGCCAAUCUCAAAAAACCGGUCUCAGUUCGGAUUGUAGUCUGCAACUCGACUACAUGAAGCUGGAAUUGCUAGUAAACGCAGAUCAGCACGCUGCGUUGAAUACGUUCCCGGGCCUUGUACACACCGCCCGUCACACCAUGAAAGUUAGCAAUACCCAAAGCCAAUGUGCUAAUCGCAAGGAAGCAGUUGUCUAAGGUAGGGUUGAUGAUUGGGGUGAGGUCGUAACAAGGUAGCCGUA